rnacentral:rRNA from 1 species
AGUCGAACGAGGUGGCCCACAGAAUUUGAUAGAAACUUUGAGAGCUUGCUCGAGAAGUGGAAAGAGAAGGACGUGGAAUUUCCACCUAGUGGCAAACGGGUGAGUAACACGUGGGUUACCUACCUCUUAGAUGGGGAUACCAAUUGGAAACGAUUGUUAAUACCGAAUGUGAUCUACGGAUUAAAGGAAGCCUUUAAAGCUUCGCUAAGAGAUGGGCCUGCGGUGCAUUAGAUAGUUGGUGGGGUAAGAGCCUACCAAGUCAACGAUGCAUAGCUGAACUGAGAGGUUGAUCGGCCACACUGGGACUGAGACACGGCCCAGACUCCUACGGGAGACAGCAGUUAGGAAUAUUCGUCAAUGGGGGAAACCCUGAACGAGCAAUGCCGCGUGAACGAUGACGGUCCUCUGGAUUGUAAAGUUCUGUUGUUUGGGAAGAACGGCUCUAAUAGGAAAUGAUUAGAGAUUGACUGUACCAUUCAAGAAAGCCACGGCUAACUACGUGCCAGCAGCCGCGGUAAUACGUAGGUGGCGAGCGUUAUCCGGAUUUAUUGGGCGUAAAGCGUCCGCAGCCGGUUUAUUAAGUAUAGAAUAGAACUUCGGGGCUCAACCCCGUCUCGUUCUAUAAACUGAUAGACUAGAGUGUGGUAGAGGCAAGUGGAAUUUCUAGUGUAGCGGUAGAAUGCGUAGAUAUUAGAAGGAACACCAGUGGCGAAGGCGACUUGCUGGGCCAUCACUGACGGUCAGGGACGAAAGCGUGGGG